rnacentral:lncRNA from 1 species
ACUGGCGGUCAUCUCUGUGUCUCUGCCUGUCUCUAUCAUGUUAUAUUUUCUUCUUGGAGUUAGAGAUUCUUUUGUUUUUUUCUCUCACCUCCUUCUGUGUUCCCUUCCUCCUUGCCCACUCUCCUGGUCCUUUCCAUUCAUCAUUCACUCUUCUGUCAAUCCAUCCACAAACAUCUAUUCCUUGCAAACAUCUAUUCCUUGUUUUAGAGAAAACAGAAAGCUGGCUGUGUGCCAGUCAAUAUGACAGGCACUUUAUAAGGUCUUUAUGAAUACUUCUUUGCCAUUUCUUUUCAACAGGCAAGUUGGGUAUCUAGGCUUCCUAUUGAUUCUCAAUGGAAUCGGACACAAAAACAAGUUACAAUGAUCCAGAGACAAAACAGCAUCAGUAACACAGCACAUCUUCCAGUGAUUGCUGUACUCAUCUCAACUCUUCAGAUAAGCAGAGCUACGGCACUUUCCUGGAGAGAACACGCCUCCACUUCCCUCUUGACCCCUCAGGUCCUAUCCAGCCUCAGUAUACAAGGGACGGAUAUAGUUUGUGAUCCAGGACCCACCGGAGCCGGCAGGGGGGUGGCUGCUGGAGAAGAGGGUGGAAGGGCCUCCGUGAGGGCUGCACUGCAGUGUACGGGCAGGAAUGUGCCGGGGCCGACAUGCUGCCCUCUGACGGCUGCUGUGGCUCAGGGGAGAUUAGAAGAAUGUCUGGGACCUCGUCGUAGGGACGUUGGUAGCACAGAUGACAGACAGGCAAGAAAGGCAGUAUUGCUUCCUGCGUGAGUCCUCCUGCCCUAAUCAACUGGAAUCCUCAUCAUCUGUUCACCAGCAGCUCAGAUGUGUGAGACGUGGUGAGAGUCCUCACGUGUCCACAGUCCAACGACAUCAAAGAGCUCCAUGUCCGAACUGCGCCCAUCCCAAUCCCUAGAAAUUGAAGUACUAUUUUAUUGUUUUCUUUGAUGCCUAUUUCUCUUGAACAUCUCUGAAAUCUGCGUUCUGGUUUAAAUGAGUUGGUAGUUCUUGGGAAGCCAUUUGAAUUCCACGUCCUAGUUAUGUUUUACCCAACCAAUUAUGUUACGUGUAGUGUCACACAUGAUCGCCUCUGUUCUGUGAGAAUGUAAGAAAAGUGGAGAUGAAGGUAGAUGAAAGAUGGAAAAAGAACAUCUGAAUAAUGAUCUAGUGAUCAAUAUACAGUUCUCCAAAAACUUGGUCUGAACUCACUUAAUUUCUGUCCCUGUAGAUGCAUCACUAAAAAGAAUGCUUUCCUUUAAAAAUGAAAAUAUUAAAAAAAGUAUAUAAAAGUACAGAAAGAGAUUUAAAACAAUAAAAAAU